UGGCUUUCACAGCAAAUAUACUAAAGCUGGAAUGAUACAGAGAAAUUUAGCAUGGUCUCUGCAUAAAGAUGACCUUCACAUUCAUGAAGCAUUCCAUGCGUUU
ensembl:snRNA U6 U6 spliceosomal RNA